rnacentral:rRNA from 1 species
GAUGAACGCUGGCGGCAUGCCUAACACAUGCAAGUCGGACGGGAAGUGGUGUUUCCAGUGCCCGACGGGGGGGCAACGCGUAAGAACCUGCCCUUGGGAGGGGAACAACAACUGGAAACGGUUGUUAAUACCCCGUAGGUUCACUAACAAAAGGUGGAAUCCGCCCGAGGAGGGGCUGGCGUAUGAUUCGCUAGUUGGUGAGGUAAUAGCUUACCAAGGCGAGGAUCAGUAGCUGGUCCGAGAGGAUGAUCGGCCACACUGUGACUGAGCCACGGCCCAGACUCCUACGGGAGGCGGCGGUGGGGACUUUUCCGCCAUGGGCGAGAGCCUGACGGAGCCCUGCCGCGUGGAAGUAGAAGUGCCACGAGUCGUGAACUUCUUUUCUAGGAGAAGAAAAAAUGACGGUAUCUGAAGAAUAAGCAUCGGCUAACUCUGUG